ACACGCCUACGGGAGGCAGCAGUGAGGAGUAUUGGUCAAUGGGAGAGAUCCUGAACCAGCCACGCCGCGUGAGGGAAGACGGCCCUAUGGGUUGUAAACCUCUUUUGUCGGAGAACAGAACCCGGGACGUGUCCCGGACUGCGUGUAUCCGAAGAAAAAGCAUCGGCUAACUCCGUGCCAGCAGCCGCGGUAAUACGGAGGAUGCGAGCGUUCUCCGGAUUUAUUGGGUUUAAAGGGUGCGUAGGCGGUCCGUUAAGUCAGCGGUAAAAUUGCGGGGCUCAACCCCGU
rnacentral:rRNA from 1 species